rnacentral:lncRNA from 10 species
AAUGCAGAUGAGAUGGCCAGUGCUACAGCUGCCUUCUUGCAACCACAAGGGAAAGGCUAAGAGAACCAGAGACUUCAGCUAGGACAUGCUUAAGCUGCUGAGUCAAUGCAAGACACUGCCUGCUUCUAGACUCAUUAUGUGAGAAAAAUCCCUGCAGGGCAUCAAGUGGAGAAGUUACGUAGAUGCUGCUGGUUUUUUCUGUCUCGUUUAACCCAGUAGGAUUCCUGGGGAUGGAUGCAUCUUCUGAAGCUUGAAAAAAACUCUCCAGGAAAGCUCCAGAUCUCAGCAUCGAAGUCACAAAAAAAUGCUUCUAAAAAUAGAGAAAACCUGGCAAGGACAAGGGCCUUGGCCUACUCAACCCAGCCACACAGGCAGCCUUUUUCUUGAUACCAAGCCUGAAGUUGUCUGGAAAGAGCAGCCCAGAUUGGAGAGUAUUUGGGACUUCUGCUCAAGGGCAUAACUGCAGUCAAGAAAUCUGGCAAUGAGUGAAAGACUGAAAAAAGAACAGAAAUAUGGUAAAGGGGAAUAUUGCAAAGCUCUGAAUGCUUGGGUAGGAUUUGACCAGAGACUUACAAAGGACUGGUCCCCACUCUUACAGUCAGGAAGUCCAACUCCAGUUCCAACUUGCCACUGACUCUCUGGAUGUUUAGCAAGUCUCUCUCCCUCUCUGGGCUUCAGUUUUCCCAUCUAUAAAACAGGGAUGGUAAAUCCCAAAGCCCUAUCUGCUUCCAGAAUUGCUGGAUGAUAAUAGAUUUAAAGCUGUACAGAUGUGAGACAUUGCACAUAUAAAAUAACCCAAUUCUCCAGUGAAGAGUGCCAGCUAAGCCCAUCCAGACAGCCCGAGGGGCUCUAUGGGCAGCUGUGGAAGAAGGCUCUUCCAUGUAGAAACAUGUGUGUUCCUCUGGAAAUGACCCUCCUUAUUGGACCCAUUUAAGCGAGUGUUCACAAUGAUUCUGGUGGGUUAUUCCUCAGUGUCUGAAGUUCAGCUGGGAAUUGGCCUUGUCCCCCAUCUAAUCACCAAAGGGUUGAGCCUCAGAAGUCUAAGGUAGAUACCUACCUUUCUUCAGCUCCAGGGGGUACAGUUGAGGCUUGUGUUUGGUGUGAUUAAAUACAAUAAAAUGAGAAAGGAGACUUGUUGGCAGGCUUGUGUUCAGAGUUAGAGAAAUUGACUUUGUCUUCAGAGUCUCUCAACCAAGUAGUCUUAGGAGACUCUGUGUGCAGGGGACAAACCCAUUUCAUGUGUUUAAGAAACAUCUUGCCUGUUGGGAACUUCUGAACCUUGUAUGUGAG